AUUGAACGCUGGCGGCAGGCUUAACACAUGCAAGUCGAACGGUAACAUAAAGAAGCUUGCUUCUUUGAUGACGAGUGGCGGACGGGUGAGUAAUGCUUGGGAAUCUGGCUUAUGGAGGGGGAUAACUACGGGAAACUGUAGCUAAUACCGCGUAGAAUCGGGAGAUGAAAGUGUGGGACCUUCGGGCCACAUGCCAUAGGAUGAGCCCAAGUGGGAUUAGGUAGUUGGUGAGGUAAAGGCUCACCAAGCCGACGAUCUCUAGCUGGUCUGAGAGGAUGACCAGCCACACUGGGACUGAGACACGGCCCAGACUCCUACGGGAGGCAGCAGUGGGGAAUAUUGCGCAAUGGGGGCAACCCUGACGCAGCCAUGCCGCGUGAAUGAAGAAGGCCUUCGGGUUGUAAAGUUCUUUCGGUAGCGAGGAAGGCAUUUAGUUUAAUAGACUAGGUG
rnacentral:rRNA from 1 species